ensembl:lncRNA
CUGCAUGCCAGCUGCUCUGUCUCCACUGCAUGCCAGCUGCUCCGUCCGUCUCCACUGCAUGCUAGCAGGUCCGUCCGUCUCCACUGCAUGCCAGCUGCUCUGUCUCCACUGCAUGCUAGCUGCUCCCUCCGUCUCCACUGCAUGCUAGCUGCUCUGUCUCCACUGCAUGCUAGCUGCUCCGUCCGUCUCCACUGCAUGCUAGCAGCUCCGUCCGUCUCCACUGCAUGCUAGCAGCUCCGUCCGUCUCCACUGCAUGCUAGCAGCUCCAUCCUACGCUGCCGCCAGACUGCCGGCUCCAUCCUGUUUUCCUGACAGGUCAAGGAAGGACAUAGAUUCAGUUUGUCUUGAAACAAAACUGUCCAGGUUUGUGGAGAACCUCGAUGUAGACACUAAUGAGGUGGAGGAGAUCAGAGACUUAAUGAAGAAGGUGUUGAUUUAUGAAAAUGAAUUAGAUAGAUGGAUAGAUGGAUAGAUACUUUAUUAAUCAUUUGACACAAACUAUGUUCAAACUCCAUCCUCUAGCACUUAUUUUGUUCACCAGUUAAGCUGGAUGUUUAAAACAACCUCUCAGUGAAAUGUCAGCUCAGAUUUCAGUGAUUUAUUAACAUCAUGUUAAACAUGUCUGUGGAGCAGUAAGGAACAGACACAAUUAUGUGUGUGCGACCGCUGGAAGCGUCAUUUUAUUCUACCACUAACAUGACAGUAACUUCAGUGGUGAUGAACUUACUGGUCCUGGAACCUGAGUGCCACCUACUGUUACGAAAACGCACAGUUGUAUGGAAAACCUCAGCGCUUCCAGAGGCGUCACCUGCCAUCACUAAAAGGAAAUGACGUCAGAAAAUUAUCACCUGUCAGAGUCGUGGCAGCCAUCUUGUCCUGCAGCUUAAACAGGAAUCAGGCCUCAGCAGCUGCUCUCUUAUUGGUCCAUGAGCAGGCGGGCUCUCAAACCUGAUUGGACAACAGAUGUGUGAUGAAAUUCAACGGAAUCAAGGGUGGAUCCAAGUUAGAAAAACUCUUGUCUGACUGGUUUCAGAGACGAGGAAACGGUUGCAGCCAUGACACGGCUAGGUCGACUACAU